rnacentral:rRNA from 1 species
AACGAACGCUGGCGGCAUGCCUAACACAUGCAAGUCGAACGAGACCUUCGGGUCUAGUGGCGCACGGGUGCGUAACGCGUGGGAACCUGCCCUUAGGUUCGGAAUAACUCCCCGAAAGGGGUGCUAAUACCGGAUAAUGUCUUCGGACCAAAGAUUUAUCGCCUUUGGAUGGGCCCGCGUUGGAUUAGCUAGUUGGUAGGGUAAAAGCCUACCAAGGCGACGAUCCAUAGCUGGUCUGAGAGGAUGAUCAGCCACACUGGGACUGAGACACGGCCCAGACUCCUGCGGGAGGCAGCAGUGGGGAAUAUUGGACAAUGGGCGAAAGCCUGAUCCAGCAAUGCCGCGUGAGUGAUGAAGGCCUUAGGGUUGUAAAGCUCUUUUACCCGGGAUGAUAAUGACAGUACCGGGAGAAUAAGCUCCGGCUAACUCCGU